UACAGAGGUCCCAAGCGUUGUUCGGAUUCACUGGGCGUAAAGGGUGCGUAGGUGGUCGGGUAAGUCUGAUGUGAAAUCUCCGAGCUUAACUCGGAAAUGGCAUUGGAUACUAUUCGGCUAGAGGGUUUGAGGGGGGACUGGAAUACUUGGUGUAGCAGUGAAAUUCGUAGAUAUCGAGAGGAACACCGGUGGCGAAGGCGGCCUUCUGGACAGUAACUGACGCUGAGACGCGAAAGCGUGGGGAGCAAACAGG
rnacentral:rRNA from 1 species